CUUGUUUUCUUAAUCCCUUUUACCUGAUGUGCCGGAGAGGCAAACCCUAAUCAGGCCAAGCGGAUGUCCAAUCUAGACCUCCUGACGGCGUCAAAACCCCAGCUUGCUCUGGAAUCGUGCCGAAACUUCUACUGCACCGACGGCGCCGGCCACCGAGGUACUGGCGAUGACUACUCCGACGGUCCACGAGAUUAGUUCGUUGCAGCCCACGUCGGUGAUGGCUUCGAGCCUCCUGGCCCCGGAUCCUCGCGUCCGCGCAUUCUGCGAUAUCCUGUCGCGGGUGCCUCCGGCGGAGGUGGAGACUGUCCUCUCCCGAUGCGGUAUCACUCCUCUUUCCGAACACGUGGAGUCUGUUCUCCGCCUCUGCUAUGCAACGCCUGCCACCGCCGUCAGGUUCUUCCGCUGGGCGGGUCUCACCCUGAAGCACAGCCCGUACGCCUGGAACUUGAUGGUCGAUAUCCUCGGGAAGAACGGCCUGUUCGAGCCCAUGUGGGACGCCAUCCGCUCCAUGAAGCAAGAGGCCGUGCUCUCCGCCGCGACCUUCGCCUCUGCCUUCGGCUCCUACUGCACCGCCGGCCGGAUCAAGGAGGCUAUCAUGACAUUCGACGUUAUGGACCGGUACGGCGUCGCCAAGGACGUUGCGGCGGCGAACUCCCUCCUCAGUGCCAUAUGCUGCGAGGACGGCCACACCAGCGAGGCGGCUGAUUUUUUUGAUCGCGUGAAGUUAACUAUUCCCCCGAACGGUGAUACCUUCGCCAUCCUAUUGGAAGGCUGGGAGAAGGAGGGCAAUGCCGCUCGCGCGAAAAACACGUUUGGUGAGAUGGUGAUUCGCGUCGGCUGGAACGCCGACAACAUGUCCGCCUAUGAUGCCUUCCUCACCACCCUUGUUCGUGGUUCACAGUCCGAUGAGGCUGUGAAAUUCCUCAAGGUGAUGAAGACUAAUAAUUGUCUCCCUGGGAUGAAGUUUUUUAGUAACGCCCUUGACAUCCUCAUCCAGCAGCAAAGCCAUUUGCAUGCCCUUUCUCUGUGGAAUAUCAUGGUUACUGAGAGUGGUCUCAUUCCCAACCUGGCCAAGUGCAACUCAAUGAUCGGCCUCCUCUGCACCCAACGCGACCUUAAUUCUGCAUACCGAUUGCUUGAUGAAAUGCCAUACUACGGUGUCUUCCCCGAUGACUUAACUUAUAACAUUAUAUUUGAUUCUUUGAUUAGGAACAAGAUGAACCAUGAGGCCGAGAAAUUCUUUGCAGAGAUGCGGAAGAAUGAGCGUCGGCCAUCUCCCCAAAAUUGUACUGCCGCGGUUAGGAUGUACUUCGCCCAGUAUGACCCAUCUGCUGCUGUGGAUAUGUGGAAUUUCAUGGUCGAGGAGCUCUCACCAGAUGAAGAGUGUGCCAAUGAGUUGCUCAUUGGGCUUUGUGAACUGGGGCGGUUGACUGAGGUGAGAAGGUUUGCUGGAGAUAUCUUGGAUAUGGGGAUCAAAAUUCAAACAUCCACUUUGGAUAAAUUGAGAACUGCCUUGUGCAAGGCUGGACGACACGAUGCAUAUGAUCGGAUUGUGAGGAGGCUAGGGAAGAAUUAGGAUGUCUAGAAUGGGAGUUGGCCUGGUUCAUUAUGAUUCAUGGCUGGGUUCCACAGUGAAGACAACAAAAUAAGGAUGUUCAAUAUCACAAAGACACAAUGAUACCAGUUAUUUCCAGUUCUUGUGUGAUAUUUCUUGGGUAUCGACUUUGACAUAUGACUUGGUUCCAUGUAGAAUGUGGGUGUAAACAUUUGCCAGCUGUGUGUAAGACACAUUUCUGAUCUAAGCAAAUUUUGAACACUGCUAAAGAAUCUGUCAAUUUACUUGUCAAGAUUGAAGAGUUUGCUCGGCCAGUCACUUAGAAUGCAGAUAUUUAUUGUAUAAUCUGUUGGGAGUAUGAUCUUCUUUAUGUUUCUCCAUUUCAUGUAGAAUUUGAGGAUUGAAAUGGAUGGAGCUAUGUUAUCCUAUUCUUUUUUUUGUAAGCCGAUCAGGUAUGUAUCAGGCAGAUAAAUAUAAUUUACUUCGAGAAGCGUAUACAAUAUUUGUUUGAUUUUAAUUGCUCAACUGUAGUGCGGGAAAGUUGGUUA